ACGCUUGAAGUCAGUCGCGUUGGCUAGGAAUCAGCCUUGCUCUUGCUCGGUGCACUUUCUGGUCGACGGGUCAGCAUCAGUUCUGACCGCCGGACAAAGUCUUUGGGAAUGUGGCAUCUCAGGAUGUGUUAUAGCCCAUUGUCGGAUACGGUGGUUGGGAUUGAGGAACUCAGCACGGCCGCGAGGCCCGGGUUUCGACCACGUUCUCGUGCUUAGGAUGCUGGCAUAAUGGCUUUAAUCGACCCGUCUUGAAACACGGACCAAGGAGUC
rnacentral:rRNA from 1 species